rnacentral:rRNA from 1 species
UGAUGUCGAUUGCGGCGACGUGGGCGGUUUGCUGCCCGCGACGUUGUGAGAAGUCCACUGAACCUUAUCAUUUAGAGGAAGGAGAAGUCGUAACAAGGUUUCCGUAGGUGAACCUGCGGAAGGAUCAUUG